UUGAUCGGCUGUCUUCAGGCUGUGGUGUGUUGUCAUGUGCUGCCCCUCCAAGUUGUCUCUUUAAACAGAAGCCACAUCUGCACCUCAGCUGGUUACGGGCACCGCGGGGCCGUGGCAGCAGGGUGGGUCGUGUGGCUGCGUGAGGACACGAAGCCAGCAGAGCACGGGGAGCUGCCACGGCUGGGCUGCAGCCUGUGCGGGACCUGCUGAGUGCAUGGCUGGUGCUCAGCAGAAGCAGCCAGUGGAAAGUCAGCAGUGAGCCAGGGCAGCUCGGGGUGAGCGAGUCCUCUCGCUGAGCAGGUGUCCAGAGCCUCCUCAGGAUCCGUGGGACCCCACCAGCAGGAGCCUCAGCCCCGUUGUUGCCAGUCGCCUCACUGUGUGUCUGUGAGCGAUGGGGAUGUGGACGGAGAUGUCUCUGCGCUGCGCCUCGGGGUAGGGGGGAGGGUAAAAAAAUUCCUUUUGAUUCUUUUUUUUUUUUCUGUUGUUUUCACACCAUUAGGAAAUAAUUAACCUCCUUAGUGAAAGCAUGUCUCCUUUGCACCUGAGUAGGAAAACCUUAAAAUAUACAUACAAUAUUUUUAACACUAAGCUUAAAUUAUGCAGUUGCUGCAUUUUGAUGAUAAAUAUGCAGAUGAGAAGAUUUCUGCCUCUUUUAUCUUGUGGUUCUAACUCUGUCUAAAAACAGAUUGUUGCAGUCACCCUAAUUCUGAGAAAAACAGCCUUUUGUGCAUGGAAAAGCCAAAACAAGCAAGUCUGAUGAUCAGAUCUCUUCCUGGCUGGCGUAUGUCUGCCAUGCUAGUGAAGGAAUCACUUGUCUUUCGUGGUGAUGGCAGUUGGUGCCAUCAAUUCCUGUCAGCUGGGAAGAGGGAUGGGAAGCCAAAUUCAUACACUGGUGAUUAAUUCUGGAAGCUCACGGGAAGACAGACUUUGUGAAUACCUCUGGAAAGCUCUGAGGCUGCAGCAGAGCGGGCAGGGUAGGUGGAUUCAGUCCAGACCUGCUUGGAUAAUUCUGGUCUUUCUGCAUCCCAGGGACAGCCUGGAGCAGGGAUGGGCUCAGACCAGCCCUUGACUGCAGAUGUUCAGGCCAGGCCGACGUAAAAUGGGUGGGCUGUGGGUGCUGAGAAGGCUGCAGAGCUCGAUGGGCAGCAGGUGCUCGUCCCGUGUCCGUGCUUACCGCCCGCUUUCAGCUUUUUCCACUGGAGGCCACGAGCUCUUCGGGCACUUUGAGGAGAGGCACAGUGUGAGAAACUGCCUGGUGUGCUCCCACCACCUCUUCUCCCCUGGUGUGUCUUAUUCUCAUAUAUCCAUGCCUACGAUCAUCUGUCUCCAAAGCACAGUUCUCUCUUGCCCUGGCUGCUGCAAGCGGGCUGCCCAUUGACCCCUGUGCCCUUUACAGUGUCUGCUGAAUGCGCGAGGUCAGGAGACAAAGCUCCUGGGGGAGUCAGGCCAGCCUCUCAGCUACACAGACAGCAAAUCCUUGUGCCUGCCUAGCAAUCCGAAGCGUGUAUCCGCCAAACAGCUCUUGAGCUUUGGUUUAAAAAAAAGAAAAAAAAAAAAGCCUAUUGCAGAGUUCACCACUUCAGGCAGCGGCUGCGUGCAAGCUGAAUGCGGCAGUGCCCACUGCUGCCCAAAGGGCAGGUACCUGGGGUCCUCAUGCUCACCUGAUUUCUGAAGUAGCCAUCAUAAGAAGAUGGGUUUCUCUUAAGCUUUGUCUCUUUUUUUUCUAACUUUUAUGAGUCUUUGCAAGGUUACUGCCUCCCAAAUACAUAUUCCAAAGCUCAAAUUCUGGAUUGUUGCUGA